rnacentral:lncRNA from 1 species
UACUUUCUGCUUCUUUUUAUUUUUCUUGAGGCCUCGACCGGAAAUCCUUUCUUCAUCGACGGGCUGCUUGCCUUUUCUUCCUUCUGAGCUGAAGAAAGCGCCGACUGCCUCCUCCCCUGCCGCGUAGUUUGCUACUACGUCCAUCAGCUCGUCGACGGUCUGAGGUCGAUUGCGGCCUAAUUCCCGCACCAAGUCCCGGCUGGUGGUACC